rnacentral:rRNA from 1 species
ACUACAUGAAGCUGGAAUCGCUAGUAAUCGCGAAUCAGAAUGUCGCGGUGAAUAUGUUCCCGGGUCUUGUACACACCGCCCGUCACACCAUGAGAGUUGGAAAUACCCGAAGCCUGUGAGCUAACUUAAAGAGGCAGCAGUCGAAGGUAGAGCCAAUGAUUGGGGUGAAGUCGUAACAAGGUAUC